ACGAUCUGUAGCGGGUCUGAGAGGAUGAUCCGCCACACUGGGAUUGAGACACGGCCCAGACUCCUACGCGAGGCAGCAGUCGGGAAUAUUGGACAAUGGGCGCAAGCCUGAUCCAGCCAUGCCGCGUGUGUGAAGAAGGCUUUAUGGUUGUAAAGCACUUUAAGCGAGGAGGAGGCUACUUUAGUUAAUACCUAGAGAUAGUGGACGUUACUCGCAGAAUAAGCACCGGCUAACUCUGUGCCAGCAGCCGCGGUAAUACAGAGGGUGCAAGCGUUAAUCGGAUUUACUGGGCGUAAAGCGCGCGUAGGCGGCUAAUUAAGUCAAAUGUGAAAUCCCCGAGCUUAACUUGGGAAUUGCAUUCGAUACUGGUUAGCUAGAGUGUGGGAGAGGAUGGUAGAAUUCCAGGUGUAGCGGUGAAAUGCGUAGAGAUCUGGAGGAAUACCGAUGGCGAAGGCAGCCAUCUGGCCUAACACUGACGCUGAGGUGCGAAAGCAUGGGGAGCAAACAGGAUUAGAUACCCUGGUAGUCCAUGCCGUAAACGAUGUCUACUAGCCGUUGGGGUCCCCUUUGAGGCUUUAGUGGCGCAGCUAACCGCGAUAAGUAGACCGCCUGGGGAGUACGGUCGCAAGACUAAAACUCAAAUGAAUUGACGGGGGCCCGCACAAGCGGUGGAGCAUGUGGUUUAAUUCGAUGCAACGCGAAGAACCUUACCUGGCCUUGACAUAGUAAGAACUUUCCAGAGAUGGAUUGGUGCCUUCGGGAACUUACAUACAGGUGCUGCAUGGCUGUCGUCAGCUCGUGUCGUGAGAUGUUGGGUUAAGUCCCGCAACGAGCGCAACCCUUUUCCUUAUUUGCCAGCGAGUAAUGUCGGGAACUUUAAGGAUACUGCCAGUGACAAACUGGAGGAAGGCGGGGACGACGUCAAGUCAUCAUGGCCCUUACGGCCAGGGCUACACACGUGCUACAAUGGUCGGUACAAAGGGUUGCUACCUAGCGAUAGGAUGCUAAUCUCAAAAAGCCGAUCGUAGUCCGGAUUGGAGUCUGCAACUCGACUCCAUGAAGUCGGAAUCGCUAGUAAUCGCGGAUCAGAAUGCCGCGGUGAAUACGUUCCCGGGCCUUGUACACACCGCCCGUCACACCAUGGGAGUUUGUUGCACCAGAAGUAGCUAGCCUAACUGCAAAGAGGGCGGUUACCACGGUGUGGCCGAUGACUGG
rnacentral:rRNA from 1 species